rnacentral:lncRNA from 1 species
GAACUCUGAACCUUAAAACCAGAACCCAAGAGAGAGAGAGAGAGAGAGAGAGACAGCGAGACAGCAAGGCAAAACAGUAGUACAGUUCUACUGCUGGUGUGUCUGGUCUGUGAGUCUGGUCUGUGAAACACAAGCCGUCCACUAAAAAAUCUGCUAAAGUCACUCUUCCUUGGCUUAUACUAUAAUGAAGAGCAGUAUUUCUCUGGCUCAUAACUCUCUUUUCCCUUCUUUAUAUACAUUAUUAUUUCACCUCUCUCAGGUACCCUUUGCUCUUUCCUUCCCUCUUUUUUUUUUGUUCUUGAUAGUUUUGCUGAUCCGGGGUUGAUUGCAAUGCUUGAUUUCUCACUCCUAUUUUUUGGUAAAGAAGCACCCAAUUCUUUAAUUGGGUCUGGUUUUUCUGAUUCUUUUCUUGAAUAUUGUUUUUCUCUCUCCCUCUAACAAUUUCUCAAGUGGAAG